rnacentral:rRNA from 1 species
UACGUAGGGUGCAAGCGUAAUCGGAAUUACUGGGCGUAAAGCGUGCGCAGGCGGUUUUGUAAGUUUGUCGUGAAAUCCCCGGGCUCAACCUGGGAAUUGCAUUGGAUACUGGACGGCUAGAAUGCGGUAGAGGGUAGUGGAAUUCCCGGUGUAGCAGUGAAAUGCGUAGAGAUCGGGAGGAACACCAGUGGCGAAGGCGGCUACCUGGUCCGAUACUGACGCUGAGGCGCGAAAGCGUGGGGAGCAAACAGG